AGGGUAGCGGUGCUGCCUGUGGGAUCACCGGCUCUUCCAGGGAAACCGAGCGGGACUGCCGCGUUCCCCUCGAUUUGCACUGUCACUCGGGCUGUUUGGAAAGAAGAGGGGAGGCGCUGUGCGUGCCUCCAUGUACUUGGAUCUGGGUGCACAAGUGUGUAUGUACGCCCAUGCCGCUGUGUGAGUUGUCAGGGCUUUGAUAACGUCCAGAGCAAGUUCGGGGGUCACCUCCAGAAACUCGCAGAAACUGGAAAGGGGCGAGCGGAGGACACAUGCCUUUCCUCGGAAGGACUUGGAAGACUUUGAGUCUCCCCUCCCCCACUUUUCCGCCCCGGCUCUUCUUUUGUUGUCAAGUCCUUUUGAUAAACGGUGGGGCAGGGAGAGUAGGGAGCCAAGAGCCAGUCUUUACCCGCAUGGGGGGCGGGGGCUGGGCCUGGAGACCUGGUUUCGAGGGGCGCUCGCCCGGAACUGAGCCGCGUACGCCCGCCCGGGGGUCGGGUCUGGAACCUGCCCUCGGCGUGCUCGCUCUCUCUUUCACCACCCCAUUCCCCUCUCCCCCAUUUUUGUCUCUGUCUCCCACUCCGCACAGGUACCGAGAACUUUCUGGGGUGAGUUUUAGAAUUAUCUUGUAGGCAUUCUUUUUUUCUGCGUUUUCAUCUUAUCCCUUGAUUCUUUAGGUUGGUAAACUUCAUGAGAUGGUAUCGUGACUAAAGAUGAUUUAGAGAAGAGGGGAGUGAGGCGGUGUGUAUUUUGGGCUGCUGUUUGUUGUGUGUAUGUGCGCGUGUGUGUUGGUGUAAGAACACAUCUGCGUUCAAGGGGGCUUAGAGUGUCUGCCUUUGCGACAACAGAGGAAGGUGAGUCCCUGAGACGGGGGCGAGGCCACACGCGAGGUUGUGAAGGUUGUCUGAAUAAUCUUUGAGGAGCAAGUCCCAGGUGCCCGUUUCUGAGAGCAGGACAAUCCUAAGCUGUCUCUGCAGGGCAGCGUGUCUGUGAGGUCGCUUGUAUCCUGCGGGUGUGUUAGUGCCUGUCUGUGUCAUUAAAUGCCCGGCUGUCGACGUGUCGGCCUGGAUCAACUGAAGAGUCCUUGGCUCUGCGAGCCUAGCCAUGGGCCGCGUGUCUCCGCGGCCGCCCGGCGAGGCCGGGACAUUGAAUGCUGGGGGCGGCGGCCAGAGCAGGGUGACCGUGGGCGUCCCUCCCUCUCUUCCCGGAGUCUCCAGACUCAGUUCUUUCCCUCUCUUGGAAUUCCAGCAGCUUUGUUUUUACGCCGUGCUGUUUAGAGGCGGUAGCCUCAGCACCUAAAGCCUGGGGGAACCAGAGAGUGGCCCCUGCGUCCCCUGGAAUGGGCGUGCAGCGGUGUGGCCGCACAAGCUCGCGGGCCUACGCCGUGCGGCGCGCGCGCGGGUCGUGGUCUGCGUGCAUUAGCUCUUCGCAAAACCCAGCUCCAAAGGUCCGAGCGCACGGGGGCGCCUGGGGGCCUGCGCACCCCGGGCUUUCUGGAGGUGCCAGCCUCCGGGCUUGCGCACCUCGCCAGGGAGGCCAAAUCUUCCAAGGCCGCGCCGGCGGUGGGGGCGGGGGAGUUACUAAUUACUGCGCGCUAGGCCUAAAGCCUCCAACCCCCAGCGGCGGUUGGCAUGGAUGUCCUGCGGGUUUUAUUUGCACACAAUGGAAAUGAUUUGUUUUCUCUAAAAAAGGAGUAGGCAUGGCAGAUAUUUGAGGAGGGGGUGGGAGGAGAAGGAAGGGGAGAGAGCUGAGGAAAAAGUUUGAAAAUGCCUUGAACUAUUCACUGUCGAGAUGGCUAAUCAGUAUUGAGGCCGGAGGGCAGGCGGGCCGCCUUUCACCGCCGCUUCGCUUUCAUCUAGGGCUCGGCGGAGGCGCUCAAUUAAAAGCCUAUCAGUUUCUGUAACGUCCCCGACCUCGCUGAUGGCGUUGCCUGGGCUUUGCAAAUAUGCGGAGGAGACUCACGGGGCAUCUGGGCCUCAGCACUGAGUAUGUGAGGGAGUGCCUAACAUUUCAUUAGUAAAUACACCCAGACAACUGCUUCUAUGGCCUCAAACUGGCCCUCCGCGGGCCGGGGUGGGCCUGGAUUCCGCACGGGGGCGAAAUUGUGGCCUUGUUCCCGGUGGCCUUCGGCUUCGCUCUUUGGGCUGCCUCGGAACCAAGCGCGACCUGCCCUUUUCCGCGCUCUUAUUCCAAAUCGACAGGCCCAAACGGCCACCGCCUGAGCCCAGUAGAGCCCAGAUUGAGGGGUGGUUGAAGUGUCUGAGGGGAAAGGGCUGCCUGCGGGACCCCAGGCCCUGCUACCCUAAAUGCCAGGUUCAGCGUCGGGCGAAGGCUCCUUCUCCGCACUGUAUCCGAGAGAACCCCCAAGGCGCGGCAGUGCUGGCCGUCUGGGACUAGCCUCUCGCAACAGUCACGCCCGGGUCUGAGCCCGCGGAUAUCGGAUAGAGCCCACCAAAGCGUGCUCGGCGCCUGGAGCUGCAGGACUCGUGGCCCCCACCCCGGGUUCCCGAAAGCCCCCCUAUUUGUACGCACUUUCCACGCCGACCUGAAUCGACGGGAUUUCUCUGGCUGGUGUUUGAGCUGCCUGUAUCCGAAUAAAUCCAGCUCUCAAGCGUCCGGCAGGAAACGGCUCCGGGUUUGCGCGUACGCAGACGCAUCGGCCAGCGCGGGACGCGUUGUGGCUCCUCCUGUUCGUGCCGCGGCAGGUCCGGCCUCUGAGGGAGGCUAGCCCAGCAGCGCCUUUAGGCCGAACGGCCGCUCGCGGCCCGGCAGUGCCUGGCAGCUCCCAUCUCCGGCGGUAGUCGGCAACCGCUGGGCCAAGUCCGCCCGCGGCGAAAACUGAAAGCAAAUUCCGCGGCAGAUGAAGCCCGAACUUUCUUGGACGCAAGUUUGCAGUAGAGAUUCGGUGGCGGCUUUGGGAGGACAGCGCGCUAGUGUGUGCGCGCGCAAGGUGGGGCGGUGGGCGAAGAGAGCACCCGGCGGCCGAGCCUGGCCCGAGGCGAAACACUAGGGAAGGCGCCUUCCCUUCUUUAUUUCUCGCCAACUCCUCGGCUCCUGUCCGUAAAAAUAGUUUCCAAGGUGCCUCGGACGCCCAGAAUGUGUUUAUGGGGAUCGCACCAGAGAAAGGAAGGCUUUGUAAAAGUUGUAGAAAGAGCUUUGCGCAGCGUUCGCCCAGCGGGGUUCAAGAAAGCUUGGGACUAGCUCGCCUUCCCUGGGGAGGAAUAGCCAGAAAUUGGCCUGGGGAGCCCCCUGCCUAGUCCUGUCCCCUCACCUCCAACCCACGAGUAUAUAAGCUCUCGCUGCCUGCGCUGCAAACUUCUCGGCGCGGCGCCGCGGUCAGCGGGCGAGGACAGGACGCAGAGCGGGCCGGCAAGGCCGCUCCUCGGAGCUCUCAGCCCCAGCCCUGAGUGAGGCUUGCGCGGAGGUGAGAGGACGAGUGUGGUUCCCGCUCCCACUUGGCUGCCGAAACCGUCAUCGCCGACCUCCCAACUCCCGGAGCCGGCGCUUCCCCUGGGAGCGGCGGUCUUGGGGGGCUGGCGAGGGCGCAAAUUGCGCGUGCGAAGCGAAGCGCACGAGGGCGGGGGCGGCCGCGGGUCUCUCCGCGGGGCCUGUCGCCGAGCCGGCCGCGGCGGGAAGAACAAAAACAAAAGCUAACACUUUUUUGAGCGUUUGCUUUGUGCCCGAUACUAUCAAAGAACUGUGUAUGAAUUAUGUCCUCGCGGCAACUCUCAGGAAAACCAUAGAUGCUAUAUGGGGCUGUAGAACUUCUAUGUGCCCAUGAAUGCCUCUGCUUCCAGCUGUGGUAUUGCGAGGCCUCACCCCAUGCGUGCUUUGGACUGAGGAGCAAGCCAAAGCCUGGUGUGGCUGUACCUGGGAUACUCAUCUUUCUGGCCAGGGUGACAGUCUGCCCUGGCAAGCACUUGAGUUCAAGUUCACCACUCAAGUAUAAGCAAAGCAACAACAUGACAACACGAGACUAAGGGAACACUUAUAGCUUUUGCAUUUGCUGUUCCCUCUGCCUGGAAAACUCUUCUCCCAAGUCUUCUCAUGGCUGGCUCCAUCUUAUUAUUCAGACUUCAGCUCACUUGUUGCUCCCCUUAGAGAAGCCUUCUCAGAACACUCCACAGCUGUCUGAGGCUGUGCAGUCUGUGCAUCACAAAGCAUUGUGAGUGGGGCUGAAGUCUGGCCCACGCUCUGCUCAUCAAGGAUUUCACAGGAGAAAGGCUUUGAAGGGCUAGCAGAGACCUUGGACAUUGUUUCUAAAUUAGCAUCCUUCCCCCUC
ensembl:lncRNA